rnacentral:rRNA from 1 species
CUACGGGUUGCUGCAGUGAGGAAUUUUGCGCAAUGGGGGAAACCCUGACGCAGCAACGCCGCGUGAGUGAUGAAGGCCUUCGGGUCGUAAAGCUCUGUCAAGUGGGAAGAACCUAUCGAUAUUGAAAAUAUAUUGAUACUGACGGUACCACAAGAGGAAGCACCGGCUAGACUCCGUGCCAGCAGCCGCGGUAAUACGGGGGGUGCAAGCGUUAUUCGGAAUCAUUGGGCGUAAAGGGCGCGCAGGCGGCCUUGUAAGUCAGAUGUGAAAGCCCGGGGCUCAACCCCGGAAGUGCAUUUGAAACUAUGAGGCUUGAGUAUGGGAGAGGGAAGUGGAAUUCCUGGUGUAGCGGUGAAAUGCGUAGAUAUCAGGAGGAACACCGGUGGCGAAGGCGACUUCCUGGACCAAUACUGACGCUGAGGCGCGAAGGCGUGGGGAGCAAACAGGAUUAGAUACCCCUGUAGUC